rnacentral:rRNA from 1 species
AGUAACACGUGGGCAACCUGCCCUCAGCUUCGGGAUAACACUUGGAAACAGGUGCUAAUACCGGAUAAUAACUUGUCAUCGCAUGGUGGUGGGUUCAAAGUUUUUCGGCUGAGGAUGGGCCCGCGGCCUAUCAGCUUGUUGGUGGGGUAAUGGCCUACCAAGGCGACGACGGGUAGCUGGUCUGAGAGGAUGAUCAGCCACACUGGGAUUGAGAACGGCCCAG